AUAUAUAGAACUAGGCUACUACACUAUCGGUAGCACAGAGCGCUCUAUGCUACCAAGUUGUUUUCAAUGAUGCGGCUUCCAAAUCAGCGAUCAGCUCCGUUAGACUUGAUCUACACUAUUUAAAGUAUUUAGAAACUAAAUUCAUAAUUUUUCGAUAUCAUUUACCUAUCAAACAAGUAGUCUAAAAUUGAACGGCUGAAAAUAAAAAUCUCAUGAAAAAUAAUGAUAAAAGAUUUAAAUUCAAGAUCAGAUAUACUAAUCUUACUAUAAAUAGUGAAAAGAAUUUUCUAUAAAAUUUUCAUCGCAUUUGGAUUGUUUUACACCGUUAAACUCAUAAACACACUACAUCGGCCAUUAAAAUUGUCAAUUUUGAGAUUUUUUGAUUACUAGUCAAAUGAUGUCGAAAAAAUCUGAAAUUUAGUUUCCAAAUACUUUCAAUAGUGUAGAUCAAGUCUAACGGAGCCGAUCGUCGAUGUGAAAGCCGCAUCAUCGAAAAUAACUUGGUAGCACGGAGCUUCUAUACUUUUAAAAGUACCAAGUUAUUGGUGCUUGUAGAUUUUUAGUCAUUGGAUUAAAAGAUAUGCGGUUAGGAUGAGGCCCCCUAGGGUUGAGUGGGUGGUUGGUUGAAUAGUAUAAUCUAAUGGUUGAAAAUGAUCCGAGGAGUAGAUCUAACGGUAAAAAACUUACAAGCACCAAGUGCUUUGUGCUUUUACAAGCACUAUAGCUGGACUCUCUCUCUCUCUCUCUCUCUCUCUCUCUCUAUAUAUAUAUAUAUAGUAUUUUUUAAUAUUUUUAAUAUAAAUAAAUUAUUAUGUAAUAUUUUAUUUAGAAAUAUUAUUUAUAAAUAUAUAGUAAUUUAUUUUAUAGUAUAUUUUAAAUAUAUUUUAUUUAUAAACAUAAAGUAUAAUAAUAAUAAAUAUAGUAUGAUAAUUACUAUUAUUAUAUCAAUAAUAUAUAAUAUAUAGAAUAGGAGAAAAUACAUAUAAUAGUCUUUUAUUUAUUUUUUUUCUUUUCCUUUCAACUAAACAACCGUGAUUGAAAAUUAUUAUUUUUCCCUACAACUCAAACAUUAAAAAGUGUAAAAUUUUUUUUUCCCUACAACCCAAACAUUAAAAAACAUUAAAAAGUGUAAAAUUUAUUUUUCUUUGAAAUUUUUUUUUACAAUUUUAUGUGGAACCAAACAGCCAUUUGGAAUGUAGCCAAAAAUCCGUUCCAAUCCACCGAGUAAAUAGAGCGGAAGGCGAAGAUCCUUUUUUCCUUUGAUCCGUUUUAAUCCUUAAAAAAUUUAUCAAAAAAUCGCUUCCCUCCCAAUAUGCUCUGAAUGAAACAGUAAUUGGAGUCUUAAAAAUAGAAUGAAAAUUAACCCACCUCAAAUCUAUCAUGACCCGAUAAGAAAUGAAGUGGGAUGUGGGUGACCCCCCUCCCCUCUCAUCCCCGAAUCUGUCCCUUUUCAUC
rnacentral:lncRNA from 1 species